rnacentral:ncRNA from 2 species
AACUUCAGUAGUGACUGGCGAGUUACAUGGAAACCCAUGAGGGAACUACUGUCGAAAAAGCCGUACGCCUGGGCGAUGAGA